GACGAACGCUGGCGGCGUGCUUAACACAUGCAAGUCGAACGGUAAAGCGCCUUCCUUUUUGGUUGGUGGGGUUGCGAGGGGGACGGUAGCGUAAGACGAGAGUAACCUGCCCCCUGCUUUUGGAUCACGGAAUGAAGGUGUAUCCAAUACGGGAGCUUCUGGUUCUUUGGCGGGGUUGGUCUGUGACAGCGGUUGUGGCGGGUGGCGAUGGUUUCGCGGUUUAUCGGCGGGUUGGUGGGGUGGUGGCUUACCAAGGCGGUGACGGGUAGCCGGCCUGAGAGGGUGACGGGCCACAUUGGACUGAGAUACGGCCCAGACUCCUACGGGAGGCAGCAGUGGGGAAUAUUGCACAAUGGGCGGAAGCCUGAUGCAGCAACGCCGCGUGCGGGAUGACGGCCUUCGGGUUGUAAACCGCUUUCGCCUGUGACGAAGCGUGAGUGACGGUAAUGGGUAAAGAAGCACCGGCUAACUACGUG
rnacentral:rRNA from 1 species